AUACGUAGGGGGCGAGCGUUGUCCGGAAUGAUUGGGCGUAAAGGGCGCGUAGGCGGCAAGGCAAGUCUGGAGUGAAAGUCCUGUUUUUAAGAUGGGAAUUGCUUUGGAUACUGUCGGGCUUGAGUGCAGGAGAGGCAAGUGGAAUUCCCAGUGUAGCGGUGAAAUGCGUAUAGAUUGGGAGGAACACCAGUGGCGAAGGCGACUUACUGGACUGUAACUGACGCUGAGUCGCGAAAUUGUGGGGAGCAAACAGGAUUAGAUACCCUGGUAGUCCACACUGUAAACGAUGAAUGCUAGGUGUAGGGGGUAUCGACCCCUUCUGUGCCUCAGUCAACACAAUAAGCAUUCCGCCUGGGGAGUUCGGCCGCACGGUUGAAACUCAAAGGAAUUGAUGGGG
rnacentral:rRNA from 1 species